GAGAAAUUCACCAAAUUUCAAGGAAUCAAGCCAUUAAAGGUGGUGAGUAUUCUGGCAAGAGUAAAGAGGUAGUAUCCGAGGAUCAAGAAUCAAAGUAUCCCGAAUUCGAUUCUCAUUACAGCUCAAGAUAGUUGGUAGAUAGCUCAUUUCGUUAAGGGCUACAGUUAGACUUGCAUCUUCAAAAACUGUAGGUUCACAGCCUUCAUUACUUUUAGUCAUUCGGGGGCCCACAUGUCAUUGUUAAAUUUUUUGAA